rnacentral:rRNA from 1 species
AACGAACGCUGGCGGCAGGCUUAACACAUGCAAGUCGAGCGAAGACUUCGGUCUUAGCGGCGGACGGGUGAGUAACGCGUGGGAACGUGCCUUUUGCUACGGAAUAGCCCCGGGAAACUGGGAGUAAUACCGUAUACGCCCUUUGGGGGAAAGAUUUAUCGGCAAGAGAUCGGCCCGCGUUGGAUUAGGUAGUUGGUGGGGUAAUGGCCUACCAAGCCUACGAUCUAUAGCUGGUUUUAGAGGAUGAUCAGCAACACUGGGACUGAGACACGGCCCAGACUCCUACGGGAGGCAGCAGUGGGGAAUCUUGGACAAUGGGGGCAACCCUGAUCCAGCCAUGCCGCGUGAGUGAUGAAGGCCUUAGGGUCGUAAAGCUCUUUCGCCUGUGAAGAUAAUGACGGUAGCAGGUAAA